UACGGGGGGAGCAAGCGUUGUUCGGAUUUACUGGGCGUAAAGGGCGCGUAGGCGGCCACCGCAAGUCGACUGUGAAAUCUCCGGGCUUAACCCGGAAAGGUCAGCCGAUACUGCGGGGCUAGAGUGCAGAAGAGGCAACCGGAAUUCCCAGUGUAGCGGUGAAAUGCGUAGAUAUUGGGAAGAACACCGGAGGCGAAGGCGGGUUGCUGGGCCGACACUGACGCUGAGGCGCGAAAGCCAGGGGAGCAAACGGG
rnacentral:rRNA from 1 species